GAUCUGUCUGUGUGAAAAUGGCAUUAUCAGCAAAUUUUCCAUACAUGAAAACUGGACAGCUAAAUCUUGUUGCAGCAUCAUCCACCUUCAUCUUAAGAUCUUCUGCAUGAGGUCAUCAGAUGUUGAAGCACUCUUAAGAUCAUUAUGAGAUUUUAUUUGAAAUUAAUCAUAUAUGAGCAAUAUUUUGCACCUAAAGACCAUCAGAGGAUAGAAGACCGAAAAGAGAGUAAUUAGCCAAAAUAUAGUCAGCAGCAAAGAGAAGUAAAACUGCAGACUAGAAUUCCCAGACACAUCUUGUAAGCUCUGAAACCUCACCUGGAAAGACAUCAGCAUUACUAUGAGAUGAAAAGCAUCAGGAAUGAAUGAAAUGUUAUGAAGACUCAAAACUGCCAUGAGAAAACCAACGCAUCAUUGCAUAAAGCAAAUUGUGAAAGCAAACAUAAAGAGGAAAUACACUGUUUCUCAGUGGAAGUUACAGAUAAAGUGAAGCAUUAAAAGGUAACUAUAAGAGAAUAUAAUUAAAUCCAAAAAUGAAGAGAAAAGCAUUGUAUCAUCUAUGUUAGUAAGAUAGAAAAAAUAAUAUCGAAAACUUGGCAUGAGGAAAACUGCUAAAACAACAAUGAAACAUUUUAAUACAGAAAAAUAAUAUAUAAAACUUGGACUAAGGAAAUAAACAUCAAGUUCUGCAAAAAAGAGCAAUGAAACAUUUUAAAACAGAUGAGAAGGAUAUUCAGGCUUGACAAGAAGGGUAGAAAGUUAAGUGGGGUGACAGACGAAAAAACAGAAACAUUGCAUAAAUAUAUAUGUUUGCUUUCUGCAGAAAGAAAGAUGCCUAAACCAGACAGUAGAAAUGUUAUAGAUGUUUAGUUAGGUAUUGGGAUAGUGUUACUAGAAGCCCACCCAAUAAAUAAAGGAUUGUGAAAAAUU